GACGAACGCUGGCGGCGUGCUUAACACAUGCAAGUCGAACGGAAAGGCCCUGCUUUUGUGGGGUGCUCGAGUGGCGAACGGGUGAGUAACACGUGAGUAACCUGCCCUUGACUUUGGGAUAACUUCAGGAAACUGGGGCUAAUACCGGAUAGGAUCUCCUGCUGCAUGGUGGGGGUUGGAAAGUUUCGGCGGUUGGGGAUGGACUCGCGGCUUAUCAGCUUGUUGGUGGGGUAGUGGCUUACCAAGGCUUUGACGGGUAGCCGGCCUGAGAGGGUGACCGGCCACAUUGGGACUGAGAUACGGCCCAGACUCCUACGGGAGGCAGCAGUGGGGAAUAUUGCCCAAUGGGCGGAAGCCUGAUGCAGCAACGCCGCGUGCGGGAUGACGGCCUUCGGGUUGUAAACCGCUUUCGCCUGUGACGAAGCGUGAGUGACGGUAAUGGGUAAAGAAGCACCGGCUAACUACGUG
rnacentral:rRNA from 1 species